rnacentral:rRNA from 1 species
GGGGAAUAUUGCACAAUGGAGGAAACUCUGAUGCAGCGACGCCGCGUGAACGAUGAAGGCCUUCGGGUCGUAAAGUUCUGUCCUAGGGGACGAUAAUGACGGUACCCUAGGAGGAAGCCCCGGCUAACUACGUGCCAGCAGCCGCGGUAAUACGUAGGGGGCGAGCGUUGUCCGGAAUUAUUGGGCGUAAAGGGUUCGCAGGCGGUUUUUUAAGUCAGAUGUGAAAGACAUAGGCUCAACCUAUGUAAGCAUUUGAAACUGAAAGACUUGAGUUAUGGAGAGGAAAGUGGAAUUCCUAGUGUAGCGGUGAAAUGCGUAGAUAUUAGGAGGAAUACCAGUGGCGAAGGCGACUUUCUGGACAUUAACUGACGCUGAGGAACGAAAGCGUGGGGAGCAAAC